rnacentral:tRNA from 2 species
GCCUCGGUAGCGCAGUAGGCAGCGCGUCAGUCUCAUAAUCUGAAGGUCGGGAGUUCGAUCCUCACCCGGGGCA